CCUAGCUUGCUAGGUGGAUUAGUGGCGCACGGGUGAGUAAUAUAUAGAUAACGUGCCUCUUAGUCUGGGAUAGCCAUUGGAAACGAUGAUUAAUACUAGAUACUCCUUCUAACUCUAAUGUUAGUUGGGAAAGUUUUUCGCUAAGAGAUCGGUCUAUAUCCCAUCAGCUAGUUGGUAGUGUAAGAGACUACCAAGGCAAUGACGGGUAGCGGGUUUGAGAGGAUGAUCCGCCACACUGGUACUGAGACACGGACCAGACUCCUACGGGAGGCAGCAGUGAGGAAUAUUGCACAAUGGAGGAAACUCUGAUGCAGCAACGCCGCGUGGAGGAUGACGCAUUUCGGUGUGUAAACUCCUUUUAUAUGUCAAGAAAAUGACGGUAGCAUAUGAAUAAGCACCGGCUAACUCCGUGCCAGCAGCCGCGGUAAUACGGAGGGUGCAAGCGUUAUUCGGAAUCACUGGGCGUAAAGGACGCGUAGGCGGGAUGCCAAGUCUGAUGU
rnacentral:rRNA from 1 species